AACGAACGCUGGCGGCAUGCCUAACACAUGCAAGUCGAACGAAGGCUUCGGCCUUAGUGGCGCACGGGUGCGUAACGCGUGGGAAUCUGCCCUUUGCUUCGGAAUAACAGUUAGAAAUGACUGCUAAUACCGGAUGAUUUCGCAACACCAAAGAUUUAUCGGCAAAGGAUGAGCCCGCGUAGGAUUAGCUAGUUGGUGGGGUAAAGGCCUACCAAGGCGCCGAUCCUUAGCUGGUCUGAGAGGAUGAUCAGCCACACUGGGACUGAGACACGGCCCAGACUCCUACGGGAGGCAGCAGUGGGGAAUAUUGGACAAUGGGCGAAAGCCUGAUCCAGCAAUGCCGCGUGAGUGAUGAAGGCCUUAGGGUUGUAAAGCUCUUUUACCCGGGAUGAUAAUGACAGUACCGGGAGAAUAAGCUCCGGCUAACUCCGUG
rnacentral:rRNA from 1 species